rnacentral:rRNA from 1 species
GCAGUCGAGGGGCAGCAUGAUUUGUAGCAAUACAGAUUGAUGGCGACCGGCGCACGGGUGAGUAACGCGUAUGCAACUUACCUAUCAGAGGGGGAUAGCCCGGCGAAAGUCGGAUUAAUACCCCAUAAAACAGGGGUCCCGCAUGGGAAUAUUUGUUAAAGAUUCAUCGCUGAUAGAUAGGCAUGCGUUCCAUUAGGCAGUUGGCGGGGUAACGGCCCACCAAACCGACGAUGGAUAGGGGUUCUGAGAGGAAGGCCCCCCACAUUGGUACUGAGACACGGACCAAACUCCUACGGGAGGCAGCAGUGAGGAAUAUUGGUCAAUGGCCGAGAGGCUGAACCAGCCAAGUCGCGUGAAGGAAGAAGGAUCUAUGGUUUGUAAACUUCUUUUAUAGGGGAAUAAAGUGGAGGACGUGUCCUUUUUUGUAUGUACCCUAUGAAUAAGCAUCGGCUAACUCCGUGCCAGCAGCCGCGGUAAUACGGAGGAUGCGAGCGUUAUCCGGAUUUAUUGGGUUUAAAGGGUGCGUAGGUGGUGAUUUAAGUCAGCGGUGAAAGUUUGUGGCUCAACCAUAAAAUUUGCCGUUGAAACUGGGUUACUUGAGUGUGUUUG